rnacentral:rRNA from 1 species
UAGGGAAUCUUCCGCAAUGGACGCAAGUCUGACGGAGCAACGCCGCGUGAGUGAAGAAGGAUUUCGGUUCGUAAAACUCUGUUGUUAGAGAAGAACAGCGCAUAGAGUAACUGUUAUGCGUGUGACGGUAUGUAACCAGAAAGCCACGGCUAACUACGUGCCAGCAGCCGCGGUAAUACGUAGGUGGCAAGCGUUGUCCGGAUUUAUUGGGCGUAAAGCGAGCGCAGGCGGUCAAUUAAGUCUGAUGUGAAAGCCCCCGGCUCAACCGGGGAGGGUCAUUGGAAACUGGUUGACUUGAGUGCAGAAGAGGAGAGUGGAAUUCAAUGUGUAGCGGUGAAAUGCGUAGAUAUAUGGAGGAACACCAGUGGCGAAGGCGACUCUCUGGUCUGUAACUGACGCUGAGGCUCGAAAGCGUGGGUAGCAAACAGG